GGUGGAUUUUAAUGUUAACAAAUCCCUGUUACAUAUAUAGUGACCAAAUUCAAAGGCAAAAGUGACAUUUGAAAAUCAAUGGUUGACAUGUUAAAAGACUUCAUAGAUAAUUCUGUCAUAACUACACGUAAAUACAUUAGAACAUCUGUAGUUAUAGACUUCAAGUGAUUUCUCUUUGUAGCAUUAACUGUUGAAUAAACUCAGAACCUGAGGCAAUCCUAAUAUACACAAUGGAUUAGUCUACAAAAUGAGUAGUCUGGUGGUGUGUGGGUGAGAUAAAGUCAACAUCCUGAUGUUGAUAAUUGUGGCACCCUGAGUAUUUUAAGGAUCAAAAACAAGUCUCAGAAUUCUUGUUGAAGUUCUUUUAACGUGUUUGUGCCCCCCCCCCUUCACCUUUAUUUGCUUUUGUUAUGACAAUAGUUUAUAUCAUAGCACAGAGCAAAAAGCUCAUUUGCUCCCACUUGAUGUGGUGUUAAGGCGAUAUUUAGUUUCGCCAGUAGGUGGCAGUGGCGGCUCAGACAAAUGAGUGACUGGCAAAAUAAUCCCUUACAAAAGUAACGCAGGCCAGUUAUUGUAAUGGAGGCCGUCAGUAACACAGAACUGCUGUUUUGCUGUGUUUCAGCCUUCCUGAUGUCAUCACCAAAUCUGAAAUCUUCCCCUGGCCCAGCCUGCCCUGUUGCUCACUACGUAUGCUUCCCAUGUCGCUCCCUUUGUUCAACGAACAAAUUCUUCACCAUUCAGCUUUCCAGUCACAGAUGUCUUUUUAAGAAAGCAGCUGAAAUGAAGCCAAUAUAAAUACACCCCAGUCAAUAUGACACUCGAGGAUACAUCCAUCAGAGCUACCAUGCUGCGACAGGCAUCGAUUGUGAAUCCUCCAGAUUUCAAGUCUCCUAAAAAAGAACGAAGGAAAUCAUACUAGGACACUCUGCACCAUCUACAUGGGAUUAUUAUAUUUAGCUGUGUAGCUGUCACUUUUACUGUGCAAACCUUGUAGUAUUUUUCCAUUUAGGAGCCUCUGUAGCUGCUCUGCAUCCACUUCUUCAUACUGGAAAAUACAUGAAAAUAAUAAAAGCUUUAUGUGAU